CCCUUAGAUGUUCUGGGCCGCACGCGCGCUACACUGAUGCGUUCAACAAGUUUCCUUGGCCGAGAGGCCUGGGCAAUCUUCUUAAUAUGUAUCGUGAUAGGGAUAGAUUAUUGCAAUUAUUAAUCUUGAACGAGGAAUUCCUAGUAAACGCGGAUCAUCAAUCUGCAUUGAUUACGUCCCUGCCCUUUGUACACACCGCCCGUCGCACCUACCGAUUGGAUGUUCCGGUGAAGCCUCGGGAUGAGGACUGGUGCCUUUAUUGGCAUGAGUUGUUCAGAACUUGUCUAAACCUUAUCAUCUAGAGGAAGGUGAAGUCGUAACA
rnacentral:rRNA from 1 species